UUACUAGCAAAUGUGUGCUACAGAAUGAACCGAUUGAUUAAUUUUUACUUAAAUCGUUUGGACCAGGGAGAUGAAUGAAAUUAGUAUUUGUGUUGGUUACAUUUGUUAAAUUAACUUAUAAGGGAUCUGCGACUUCUAAAAUUUAUGAUGAAACAAACGAAAACGAUACAGAAAUCGAUGUUGUGAAAAUUUAGAUACUACCAAGAGUAAAUCAACCAU